AGCGGACGCUGGCGGCAGGCUUAACACAUGCAAGUCGAGCGGGCACUUCGGUGUCAGCGGCAGACGGGUGAGUAACACGUGGGAACGUACCCUUUGGUUCGGAAUAACGCUGGGAAACUAGCGCUAAUACCGGAUACGCCCUUUUGGGGAAAGGCUUGCUGCCGAAGGAUCGGCCCGCGUCUGAUUAGCUAGUUGGUGGGGUAAUGGCCUACCAAGGCGACGAUCAGUAGCUGGUCUGAGAGGAUGAUCAGCCACACUGGGACUGAGACACGGCCCAGACUCCUACGGGAGGCAGCAGUGGGGAAUAUUGGACAAUGGGCGCAAGCCUGAUCCAGCCAUGCCGCGUGAGUGAUGAAGGCCUUAGGGUUGUAAAGCUCUUUUGUCCGGGACGAUAAUGACGGUACCGGAAGAAUAAGCCCCGGCUAACUUCGUG
rnacentral:rRNA from 1 species